rnacentral:rRNA from 1 species
GACGAACGCUGGCGGCGUGCUUAACACAUGCAAGUCGAACGAAGUGGCGAACGGGUGAGUAACGCGUAAUCAACCUGCCCUUCAGAGGGGGACAACAGUUGGAAACGACUGCUAAUACCGCAUACUGAAGGAGGGGAUUGCGUGUGAUUAGCUAGUUGGGGGGGUAACGGCCCACCAAGGCGAGGAUCAGUAGGCGGGCUGAGGGGAGGAACGGCCAAAUUGGGACUUAGAAACGGGCCAGACUCCUUAGGGAGGCAGGAGUGGGGAAUCUUCCGCAAUGGAGGAAAGUCUGACGGAGCAAAGGCGCGUGAGUGAUAACGGCCUUCGGGUUGGAAAACUCUGUUAAUCGGGACGCGGUACCGGAAUAGAAAGCCACGGCUAACUACGUGCCAGCAGCCGCGGUAAUUC